AACGCACCUUGCGCCCUUUGGUAUUCCGAAGGGCAUGCCUGUUUGAGUGUCAUUAAAUUAUCAACCUUGCUUGCUUUUACUAGCUCGCUUGGCUUGGAUGUGGGGGUUUGCUGGCUUCCUUCAGUGGAUGGAUGGUCUGCUCCCCUUAAAUGCAUUAGUGGGAUCUCUUGUGGACCGUCACUUGGUGUGAUAAUUAUCUAUGCCAUAUGACUUUGAAGCAAAUUUUAUGAGAACCUGCUUAUAACCGUCUCUCGCAGCAAUGCGGAUUGGGGGUCUGAGUCCUUUAUUUGGGCACUUCCCUUGUCGGACAACUUUUUUAACAUUUUGACCUCAAAUCAGGUAGGACUACCCGCUGAACUUAA
rnacentral:rRNA from 1 species